UUCGCGGAUCAUAUGAGCCGGGGCUUCGCACCGCCCGGCUCAAAGUUUUUCAGGGACGUGCUCAACUUCUUUGAUCUACGGCCUCAGGAUAUAGGACCCAACUCCGUAUCCAACAUCUGCAACUUCCAAGUCUUUUGCGAAGUGUAUCUUGGAGAAGAGCCGAGUCUGCUGCUCUUCAGAGAGCUGUUUUACUUAAACCGCCAAAAUGAGUGCGCCAACGGGCCAAGUCUGGAGUUAGGCGGUAUCUCCAUCCAGCGGCGUAGGGACUGUCUUUUCCCUUACGCAGAGCCGCCAAGCCACCCCAAGGACUGGAAUAUGACUUGGUUCUACUGCCAAGACACGUCCCCGGCUGACGAGAACCCGCUGCCCGGCUUUCGCCCAACACGUCUAGAGCCGACUCAUCCGCUGUCGGACAAACUGACUGCAGCAGAACGCCAGCCUCUGCUUCCAACUAUCAAUAAGAUCAAGGCCCUGCUAGGCAACGGUCUGAACGGAAUUGACCUGGUCCGGGUCUGGAUCUCA
rnacentral:rRNA from 1 species